GGGCCUAUGGCGCAAUUGGUAGCGCGUAGUAAGUUCAAUCGUAAGGUUAUCCGUUCGAUUCGGGUUGGGCUCA
rnacentral:tRNA from 1 species